rnacentral:lncRNA from 1 species
GGAUCACUGAUUUGCGUCCUCCAUGGGCUCCAAAAAGAUCUAGUUCAUCAAUGGCCUCAAGUGCUGCCUACAAAAACAGGUCCAAAUUUGUCUCAUUUCACCUACCUGCCUCAUCAUACACUGGAGAAGACCUCGCAUCAGCUUCACUACGUUCUGUAGAAAUAAGAUAGCAUCAGUAACAACGCGUCGUAGGUUUCUUGCUUCAACAAAACCGAUUACUCCUACAUGGUCAAUAAGCCAGUGUUGUCUGGAAAUGUUCCACAAAAGAUAGAUCCCAACUCUACAUAAAUAUUCUGAUUGUUCACAUUAUUGAGAUUUUUCUACUCCAUCACAAAAUAAGUAUUUUAACAAAAUGAUUUAUCUCACAUAAAAGGGUUGGGUCAGA